rnacentral:rRNA from 1 species
ACGCUGUUCGGCGUGCCUAACACAUGCAAGUCGAACGAGAAAACGGGGGCAACUCCGUGAGUACUCCGCCGAACGGGUGAGUAACACGUGACUAACCUGCCUUCGAGCGGGGGAUAACCCCGGGAAACCGGGGCUAACACCGCAUAACAUCGCGAGGUGAAACUCCUUGUGAUCAAAUGCGCAAGCAGCUUGAAGAGGGGGUCGCGGCUGAUUAGCUAGUUGGUGAGGUAACGGCUCACCAAGGCGAUGAUCAGUAGCCGGCCUGAGAGGGCGCACGGCCACACUGGAACUGAAACACGGUCCAGACUCCUACGGGAGGCAGCAGUGGG